AGAUUAGACGUUACCUGCAGAAUAAGCACCGGCUAACUCUGUGCCAGCAGCCGCGGUAAUACAGAGGGUGCGAGCGUUAAUCGGAAUUACUGGGCGUAAAGCGAGUGUAGGUGGCUCAUUAAGUCACAUGUGAAAUCCCCGGGCUUAACCUGGGAACUGCAUGUGAUACUGGUGGUGCUAGAAUAUGUGAGAGGGAAGUAGAAUUCCAGGUGUAGCGGUGAAAUGCGUAGAGAUCUGGAGGAAUACCGAUGGCGAAGGCAGCUUCCUGGCAUAAUAUUGACACUGAGAUUCGAAAGCGUGGGUAGCAAACAGGAUUAGAUACCCUGGUAGUCCACGCCGUAAACGAUGUCUACUAGCCGUUGGGGUCCUUGAGACUUUAGUGGCGCAGUUAACGCGAUAAGUAGACC
rnacentral:rRNA from 1 species